AUGCUUCCUUCACUGUGCACUCUUGUCCUGCUCCUCUGGGAUAGUCACUUUAAGCUGCCCUCCUGCCGAGCAACAUUGGAGUUCAGUCUGCCCCACACGCAUGGACCCACUGCCAAGCUAUAGGCUCACUCUCAAUUGACAAGUGCUACGGGUCUCUUAAGUUGGCAAACUUUCCUGGUAAUCGAGGGGUGCUAAUUUUAGAGUACUUUAAAAAUGGGUUUUGAAGGCUGAAUGCUGUAGAGUCCCACAAAGGAAACUGAAUGGGACGUUGUCAUGGUUAGAGGGUGAACUGUGCUUUCGACUCUUUUGCAACCGCCUUUCCAGUGCACCCCUCGGAUGACAGACUUAGCUUCCUUCCUUCAAGGUGGAACCCCAUGGUUCAACCACUCUCACACUGGACCUCUGGUUUCCCAGCCAUGUUAACGUAACAGACCUAACUAUAUUUGGCACCAGUGAGAAACUUCCCUCCGGGACAUGUGGCCAGCAGCUGGUUAAAGUGAUACAAAAGAGUUCUAAAAAGAAACGUGAUGUUUGUUCACCCAAAGGUACGUAGCCAUCAAAGGAGAGGGUUAAAACAAACGCCUGCACAUCUGGUCUGACAUAAACUUCACGCUUUCCUUGCUAGUUCAGGAAGCUUCUACUUAACCCAGAUACUGCUACCUGUGGGCUGAGAGACACACUGUCCUCCUGCAGUCGUUGCCUGUCUCUCUCCUGCAUCAGCUCCCUGCUGCUGCCAACUCACUCCCCCUCCCUUCCUCUCUAGACAAGGGCUUUUAACUACUUAAUGUCCUUUUGAUUUUAGGCCCCAGCCCUGGAAAACAUGCCCUGCCUGGAACCAGGCAGGAGGGCAUUUCUCAAUUAAUAGCCCACUCAUUUUUCUCUUAAGGACCCUUGGUAUUUUCUCUGGAGAUAAAUUAUCUCUAGACAUCAUUUUGUUUCCUGCUUGCUCUUACUAACAGCCCCUUCUUAUUUAACUCUAUGCAGGCAGACAGAAUAAAAUCAAGCAAGUAAACUGAGGUACA
rnacentral:lncRNA from 1 species